UUCUUCAUCCGCUCCUGAAGGCGGCGCCCGCGGGUUCACCUUCAGUCUCAGCCUCGGCUGCUUGAUGCCAGUCACAACAACACGUGCGCUUCCUGCGGGCGACAGCUCUUAAUAUAAAGAACAAGCGCUGAUCUGAAGAUUGUAAAGCUGUGCUGGUGGACAGACCGUCCAAACACAUAACCGCUGCUGGCCGUGACUCCGGAAGCUCCAGGGGGAGACUGUAACUGUCUCCCCCUUCUUCAGGCGCUGCUUCACACACUGUCCCUCCUCACACACACACACACACUCCAGCAUUCACCCGUAACGCAGAGACCUGGCCGGGAUUGAACCAGCAACCUCUGAACCGUGAGGCGGUGCUCUUACCAGUGAGCCACAGGUCUCUUGUUGAAGAACGUGAAGGAACUUAUAUUUGACUGUUGAUCCAAUCCUGAGUUCUCAAUAAAGAUAUUUGAGUGACUUUAAUUUAAAGCUGAUUUAAGCGACUGUGGGGUUCAAAGUUUGGGGUUAAACGCUUUAACCACUGAGCCACAGUGAAUGUUGUGUUAUAGUUUGACAUUUGAGUUGUUGUAGGAUGAGAUCAACUUAAAGCAAGCAAUAGCUGGGUUUGAACUCAGAUCUUCUGGAUCAAAGCACACAGCUUUAACACAUGAGCUACUGAGUCUGGAGAUCUGAAGCACGUCUCUCACACUUGAGAUCGAGAUCUUUAACCACUGAGGUUUAGGCUGAAUGAAAAACAUUCAGUACAACUGUGGGAUUUGAACACAAACACACUGCAGCUCCAUGAAUCAAACACUCAGGUUUAACAGCAGGGCUUGAACCUGGACUUCUGUGUUUGGGGUUGAGUGCUUUAACCACUGAGCCACAGAGAGCGUCUUGGCACUCACUUCUUAUAUUCAGGGUGGUUUCAAGUUUGCUAGAUUUGAUUCAGCAUUCACCACAGAGAUUGUGUUAAUCGUAUUUAAAUUAAUUAUCUAUUACAUUAUCAUUCUUACCAUCAUUUUUGUAACUUUAACUUCAAGACUAGUGCACUUUCUUUUCUUAAAACAUAAACUCGAGAAUAUAUAAGUAUUAUAUAUUCGAAAUAUCGAAGUAUUAUCAGUCUUAAUGAAAGUUGUUCUCAAGCUUCUUAAAGCGCGCCCUCCUGUGGUGAUUUCUAUGAACUGAAUCACUUCAAAGUGAAUCUAAUAAACGCACUAAAUCUCUGUAAGAGGGUGAGAGCACAUGGCGCAGUAUUUCAGUAUGAACUGAUGUAUAUACUUAAUAAAAAUUACACUCUUUCUCUAUUAUAGGAGAAGAAGACUUGUAUAAACUUGUUAAAUCAUCUAAACCAGCAACAUGUAUGUUAGACCCUAUUCCAUCUAAACUAUUAAAAGAUC